GGCGAACGCUGGCGGCGUGCCUAAUACAUGCAAGUAGAACGCUGAAGAGAGGAGCUUGCUCUUCUUGGAUGAGUUGCGAACGGGUGAGUAACGCGUAGGUAACCUGCCUUGUAGCGGGGGAUAACUAUUGGAAACGAUAGCUAAUACCGCAUAACAAUGGAUGACACAUGUCAUUUAUUUGAAAGGGGCAAUUGCUCCACUACAAGAUGGACCUGCGUUGUAUUAGCUAGUAGGUGAGGUAAUGGCUCACCUAGGCGACGAUACAUAGCCGACCUGAGAGGGUGAUCGGCCACACUGGGACUGAGACACGGCCCAGACUCCUACGGGAGGCAGCAGUAGGGAAUCUUCGGCAAUGGGGGCAACCCUGACCGAGCAACGCCGCGUGAGGGAAGAAGGGUUUCGGAUCGUAAAGCUCUGUUGUAAGUCAAGAACGGGUGUGAGAGUGGAAAGUUCACACUGUGACGGUAGCUUACCAGAAAGGGACGGCUAACUACGUG
rnacentral:rRNA from 1 species